GGGCAAAGCUGGGCGCUGGGGCCCACACGGCCCCUGUGGGCAUUGACAAAUCUCAUUUAACCGUAUGAAAAUGAUUGACUGACACUGCUGUUACCACGCCUAGUGUGUGACACACCACUUAAAUUAGGUCCUGUUCCUUCCAUGUAGUUCCAUGUGAACACACUCUUUCCCCCUGAUCAUCUCUGCGUCUCCAUCUGUAACACGGGACGGCGGCUGUGGGGCCCAUGAGGGGCGGGCUGUGUGCGGAACAGCAGUCCGGCCAGAGUACAGAGAACCAGAAGCGGUCAGUUCUGGUGGCAUUUCACGCUCUGCCCCCAGGGCUUUUCCUCCCACACCCUCUGAGUGACAGCCUGGACCUGGCUUUCAGUGGGGGAGAACCAGGGAGGCAGACACAGCCCCAGGAUCUCAGGAUGCCAUCAGUGUGGCUCCCUGGCCAGGCCUCCACCCCCCUAAACAUGACGUGGUGCUUCUUCAGUCCUUCUCUGGGGUGCUUGCAGGGAGGCCUCGGUGACCUGAGGUGACGGGGGCCCAUGUUCGCACUGAGAUCCCCUCUGGAGGAAGAAAUGCCCCCGACGACACCAGGCGCGCAGAACCACCUGUGAGAGAAGCCGCACAGAGGCAGCCUCCACCCCUUCCUUCGACAGGCAGACGCUGAGCACACUCUGCUCAGCAACAGAUGGCCACAGGCUCCUGACACACGACCCCGGCCGGCCUCAGGCUGAGAGGAAAGCCUGUCACACACACCGCAUGACUCCAUUUACACAGCAUUCUUAGAACAACAAAUUGUAGAGAUGGAGAGUGGACGGUGGGGGCCAGGGAAGAGGGGAGGUGGCUGUGGCUGUGACGAGUCCACAGGAGGGCCCCUGUUGGACAGAGAUGUUCCAUCUUGGCAGUGGUGGUGGCCACACGAAUCCAUACGUGUGCUAGAAUUGCACAGAUCAAGACAUGCACACGAAUGCAUGUAGAACCAGUGUGAGCUGAGUGAGAUGGGUGGGCUGAGUCUGUGUGGUCUCCCAGCUGUGAUCUGAUACCACAGUCACCGCAGCCCUGCAAGAUGCCACCACUGAAGGACACCGGGUAGAGGGCACACGGCAUCUCUGUGUUAGUCCUUAUGAUUGCAUGCAGAACUGCAAUUAUCUAAAAAUAAAAAUGUUUUUAAAAGACCGUAGGGUGGACCUGCUGUUCCUGCUGCACCUGCACAUGGGCCGCAUCCUCUCCUAGGAGGCUGCAAUGUGGCUACCCACAGGAAGGGCGCGACCUCGUGUUUACUCACCUUGCCCUUCGAGGAACCAACCCUUGUUGUUGUGAGAGGAAGCCGAGGCCAGAAGAAACCUCAAGGUCCCCCUCGCAAGCACCGUGGAGGACACCCAACCGCAGCCCUGAAGCCUCCAGGCCUCGUGGAGCUGCAUCUCCCUCAGGAAGUGGCCCAGCCGAGCUCUCGACUCUGGGACUUUGGUCCUGUUGACAGGGGUGGAGCCCUCCUGACUGCCUCUCAAACCAGCAUCGGGCAGAAGAGCAGCUUCCAGCUUCCAGAACGGCUCCAACUUCCUAUUAAAAGACCCACAAAACUCAGAGCGUCUGCACCACGGGGACCAGCAGCCUCAACACAGCCCCGCUCUCUCCAGCCGGUUGUUAAGCCUUUCCCAGCAGGCAGCUGGUUGCGACCUGCAGUGUGAAAUGCCCUGUUCUGGUUGAUGCCCCUCACCUGUCUCACCCACCUUUGUCUUUAGGUGAAGAGACUAAAGCGAGGUUGGGGAGAGCCUGGGACCCAGGACGAGUUGGGGUCCAGCUGGGAGAGGUACCCUGUCUUCUGAGUCUGGGUCCAAUGCUGUCACACCCACAAAGUGCCCCCUGCCACCUCUCCCUCCCUGGAGGUGAGGACUGUCUGUACAUAGCGGGCGUGAGGCUCCAGGGCUGGAGGCAGAACCCUGCCUUCUGGGCUGUGGCCCUCCAGAGAUGUGGACAUGGGGCAGGCGCCUGCUCCAGGCCCGUUCACUCUCCCGCACAGCCCAGGACCCACGCAGCCCAACGCUGGUCUGCUUGGUCGAGCAACUGGUGCUCAGCUGGGCGGGUCUGGGCCAGGGCAGGCAGGGGCAGGGAUCCGGCCAGCUCUGGGGAGCUGUGGGGUCAUGGUUUCUGCCCGUUCUGCUGGUGGGCGUGCUUCCCCUACACUCACGCAGGGUACCUUGUGUCGGAGGCAGGGGAAGAGUCGAGGGUGCACGCAGGAACAGGAGCCCUCAGGGCCGUUCCUCCCAGGCCGUCCGGUGGAGCAUCUGAUGGGAACUGCUUGCAGUCCGUGUGGCCGCACGCAAGGCCCUCGCUUCCUGGACAAAGUGCCUGUGAGCAGCCUUCCAAAGCGCUACUUUCCCAACACCAGUUUCAGUCACUGCGAAGCGACAUCACGGGAAGUUCGAGGAAGGCCCGAUGCUCCUGCCUCUCUCCGCGCACGCCAUCGUCACGUCGUGAUGGAGGUGCUGACAACAGGACUCCACCCCUCCCUCCAGAACACCGUGUCCCUCCACAUUUCACUGUGUGGGCACGGAGGCCCCGCAGGUUUGCCCUGGGCCAUGGGACCGCCCAGCUGGGCCCCGUGGGCUCCUGUGUAUGUGAGGGGACCAGGUAAAGGAGGCCACAGUCUCACACCCCAUCAGAGCCCCCUGCAUCGUUCAGGUCACACGACAGCAGGCACAAUUAGGGGCCCUCUUUCCCCUGGAGGAAGCACCGUGCGAGCAGCAAUGUGCCCCUAAUGAGGACAUGGCCCUGACGACGCCAGCACAGACAAGGCCCAUCACCCUGUGGUCCAGCCUUCAUCUCUGCCUCUCCUACUCGAUGGACCGCGGCAGAGACAGCAGCUUCGAGCAGCCUGGGCAGGAGGAGGAAAGGCGGCUGGAGGACCCGUCAGACAGACGGGCCCUGGGCUGAAACGUACUUUGGACUCCCGGCUGGAUUAUCAUCUGCAAUUCUAGCUAAACUCUGGCUUAUGCGGUCGGAGGGACUCAGAAUAUAAAUUUAUGGAGAUAAAGUCGCUAACUCCUGGGAUGUCCCCUGAUCCUACACCCACUCUGAAGCUACCUUUGAAGUAAAGAUGUGGAGUCGUAGGAGAGGUCUCCGUCUCAUUAAGUCUCGUGAAGGCAUCUCAUAGACUUUCACCAGGAUGGAUGAUGUUGGCAUAGCACCACAAAGCACAUAACCUGUGAGAAAUAGGAACGGCUGACUGGGAGAGCCUCACCAAGUGUCCUGCUGACAAGUCUUCUCAAGCUCCAGAUUGUGGGGGCCAGCCGGCUUGCCCAGGGCUGUCCCAGUUCCAGCAUCCAAAGAAACCCCUUGGUCCUGGGCAGACUGAGAUAGCUGGUCACCCUAGAAUCCCCCAUGAGAUCUGAGACACUGCCACCCAUUUCACAGUUGAGGCUGUCAUGAUUGGGAGCUCACGGCAGCUCCUGGAGGUCACACAUGCACCUGGCACAAAAUUUAAACAGUACAGGAGGUGGAUGAAGACCAGCAGAGCCUUCGCUCACCCCAUGCCCUAGCUCAAACGGCGUUGAGUUGUCUCAGCACCACAAGUGGACUAAUCUUUUCAAGACGGCCUGAAGUCACUUUUAUCUGCAGAUUCCGCUGGGAACCUCAGUGAGACGCUGAGCUUUCUAAGAUGCUAACUCAUCUGCUUCUGGACCAGCACUACCACCACCACCAGGAGGACUUUCAACCAGUAUUUGUGUGGCUCUUUUGAUUUUUACAUGUCUAAUAAAAAAAUAAGCCGGAAA
ensembl:lncRNA